rnacentral:rRNA from 1 species
CUGUUCCUAGUACGAGAGGACCGGAAUGGACGAACCAAUGGUGUUCCAGUUGUCGCGCCAGCGGCAUUGCUGGGUAGCUAAGUUCGGAAUGGAUAACCGCUGAAAGCAUCUAAGCGGGAAGCCAACCUCGAGAUUAGAUAUCCCUCUGUAUGGAAACAUACAGACUGAAGACCCCUUGAAGACUACAAGGUUGAUAGGCCAGGUGUGUAAGCAUAGCAAUAUGUUUAGCUAACUGGUACUAAUAGGUCGUGAGGCUUAGUCACAAAAC